rnacentral:rRNA from 1 species
AACGAACGCUGGCGGCAUGCCUAACACAUGCAAGUCGAACGAGACCUUCGGGUCUAGUGGCGCCCGGUUGCGUAACGCGUGGGAACCUGCCCUUAGGUUCGGAAUAACUCCCCGAAAGGGGUGCUAAUACCGGAUAAUGUCUCCGGCCCAAAGAUUUAUCGCCUUUGGAUGGGCCCGCGUUGGAUUAGCUAGUUGGUAGGGUAAAAGCCUACCAAGGCGAGGAUCCAUAGCUGGUCUGAGAGGAUGAUCAGCCACACUGGGACUGAGACACAGCCCAGAAUCCUACGCGAUGGAGCAGAGGGGAAUACAGGACAAUGGGCGAAAGCCUGAUGCAGCAAUGCCGCGAGAGUGAUGAAGGCCGGAGGGUAGUAAAGCUCUUUUACCCGUGGUGAUAAUGACAGUACCGGAAGAAUAAGCUCCGGCUAACUCCGUG